rnacentral:rRNA from 1 species
UUAAUGGAGAGUUUGAUCCUGGCUCAGGACGAACGCUGGCGGCGUGCCUAAUACAUGCAAGUCGAGCGGAUUGUACCUUCGGGUACAGUUAGCGGCGGACGGGUGAGUAACACGUAGGCAACCUGCCUGUAGGACGGGGAUAACUACCGGAAACGGUAGCUAAGACCCGAUACCUGCCCCGAGCGCAUGCUUGGGGCAAGAAACGCGGAGCAAUCUGUGGCCUAUAGAUGGGCCUGCGGCGCAUUAGCUAGUUGGUGGGGUAACGGCCCACCAAGGCGACGAUGCGUAGCCGACCUGAGAGGGUGACCGGCCACACUGG